UGUAUAUUUCUCUCUCUCUCUCUCAAUCUUUAUCUCUCUAUUUUUCGACAUCGCUAUCUCUCUCUGUCUCUUUCGUUCUCCACCACUCCAAUCGACUAUUGAGAGGGGCGGUGGUUAUGGCGGUGGAGACGGCGGCAAUAAACGGAUGGUUGUAGAGGCAAGGAUACGGCGACUAUGGUGGUUUAAGGUCAGAUCUAUGGUGGAAGGCGUGGCGACGGUGUUGGGCAUAGAUGAUGGCGUGAUGGUGGCGCUCGGUGAUGGUGGUGGUGGUGGAUGGUGGUGGUGGAGGAGCGGAUCUAGGGUUUGGUGGAGAAAAUUUAAAAAAAAUCGAUUUGGAUGUCUAUGGGUGUCUAUGGGUCUGGCGGCUAGGGUUUGUAGGAGUUAGGGUUUCAAGAUGUCUAUUGGUGACUACGGAUUACUACAGUUUCCUAUGGGUUUCUGAAGAUGUCUACGACCGAAAAAAUUAAAAAAAGUCAUAAUUUUCACUUUAUGUAGAAAAGAAAGGGAAAAAAAAACGUGUUCCACGUAAAAAAAAAAUGCUAGAUGC
rnacentral:lncRNA from 1 species